CUCUCCUUCCACUAAAUCCUCACGCGCGGUGAGUUCGAGCGGCGAGCAGGGCGGAUGCUCCUGCGGCGCUGCUUGAUACGGCGCAGCCGCCGCCGCCGGCGUUGGGCGCGCGCAACCCAGGAGAGCGGUUCGGCGACAGUGCUGCGUCGCGGCGCGGCGUGGCGGCCCGGCGCGGCUGAGCUGGAGUUCGCCCUCGACCAUGGGCGAAGGAAGAGAAAACGAGGGGGUAUCAUAGAAUUCCGUUUGGAUGGUUUACCCCGUGAUUCCGGCCAGCCGGAAUCGUCUUCCGGCGAUCGACAGGAAACUUCCGUUUUGGAAUGUCCUAUUAUUCGUUUUUUUUCCUGCAAUCCAAACGCACCUGGCCUAAGAUUUUCCUGCAGGAGAGCAUUCCUUUGGAAAUUCCUCCAAUCCAUACGGGACCAGUCAUCUCCGAUUCCGCAAUCCGACAGGAAUUUUCCGCUAUCGAAUAUGUGCAUUCCGGAGUUCCUCUGAGAUAGUACAGUACAUACAUGUUCAUUGUGUGAGUAGUGUCCAAUGUCCAUAGCAUCUUAUUCAAAUAUGAGCAUUUUUAGGUAGUUAAGAGGAUAAUAAGGAUAUAAGUAGGUUUUUUUGGGAGGGAAUAUGCAUUCAGCUUUCAAGUGUCUUUGUACAGGAUAUGAGUACUCUUACAUUGAGUUUCAGUGAUUUGUUCCAGAGAUUUUGGCUUCAUUGAGUUCCAGAAAACAGGAAUUGCAAGUCCUCCCACAUCCCAAUAGCCCAAUUUUUUUUCCCUAUAGAAUAGUAGUUGAAACAGUGGAGGAUGUUACAGGGUGAAGCCCCCCACCACCACCUCAAGCAAUCAGCAUGGACAAAAUAUAUCUACACCAUGUACAGCAAAUUACAAUCUCAGAUGACUCAUGAUAGUCAUGAUUCAGAGCAAAGUGGCUCGAUUUCUAUGGGCAGACCUCUCUGGAACUCCACGUACGGGUAUGCCAUCGGAAUGUCAUCGCCAUCAAUUCUCCAUCUGCACGGCACAAAGGUUUCAAGAAACGAAGAACGGUGAUCAGCCAACACUAUGCAUGAGAAGCCUGUAUACCUUCACUAGUUCCAGAUCUUGAACUGACUGCCCAAGGAAAUAGACAACCAUGGAGAUCAAGAGUGAGGUGGUCUCAUAUCCUCCUAGUAAGGAAUCCAGCACAAAGCUCACUUUCUCCUCAUCAGAGAGCUCAUUGCUUGAAAGCAGAACAUCAAGGAAAUCGCCCUUGUUGCUUGAUCCAGCAUUCCUCCUCUCCUGAAUAAUACCCUUCACAGUUCUUGAUAUCCUCUCUCUGGCCUGUGAGGAUCACCAGACAAAAGAAUGAGAGCUAUUAUGCUUUGGCAUAGGGUGUCCCUGGGAUGUAGAGAGGGAAAGAGAUGAGACCCUUCAUGAAGGCGAGAAAAUCCUCAAGUAUCUUGGCAGUGACCGGCUCCUCUGGUGACAGCCCCAGGACCUGCUUCACUAUUACACUGAAUGCGAACUGUGCUUCUCAAGGAAAGAGAGCACACCAAAGAGAAAAAGAAAAGAAAAAAAAGACCCUGAAGGCGAUGACAUUGACCCUCCCCUUGUCCUUGCUCUUGCCAUGCCAUGACCCAACUAUAUGCAGUGCAAUCUUCUCAAUGUCACCAAGGUAGCUGGGCUUGAGCUUUGUGGAGGUGACCAGUGCUAGAGCAAGGUUCCUGAGCCUUUUGUGGUCCUCCCCUAGGACCACUAACAUGGAGGACUUGCCCAGAAUGCCAUGAAUUGGCCUGGGGUAGCUGCACUGAAACAGCCUCUCCUCAUUCUGAAGGAUGAAGUGGUUCAGCUCCUGGUCACAGGACACUAUGGUGGGGGUGCAGAACAGAUGGGACUUGAACACCUUCCCAUACCUGCAUCAUCAUCACGCCAUCAGUAGUGUUACCACCAUGCUAGUCCCCCAUCAGGAGGAAGAAAAAGGGUAUGAUAAAGCCUGCUUGGACAGGACAGCAGCAUUACCUUUUGCCGUGUCACAUGAAAUAAUGUGAAGUGAAUUGGCUGCAUGCAUAUACUGUGCCAGUAGUAGCUUUUAUCAAGGAGGGCUAUGAGCCUACAGCCUAGGACUAGGAGGAUGGUCCAAUGCAGAGUAGCUAGCAUCUAGGCUGCUGCUGCUGCUUAAGGUGCAGUCAAACACGCAGGUAGAGAGAGAAAUGCAUUGGGGUACAUGUACAUGCAGAGCCAGGUGCAGAUCGAUGCAUAGGACAUUGGUGAUAAUUAAGCUCUCUGAUGGUGAAGCUUACUAUGUGCACACCUUGCAACCAAUCUUCGGGAGUGCACACCUUGCAACCAAUCUUCGGGAUACCCAUGCUUCAGUAUGGAUCAACCAGCGAGAGACAGCAGCUGCUCUUCUCAUCUGGGCCAUUUCCUAAAGCCAUUUCCUUUUCAUGAAAACAUAUGCAGCAACAGGAGUCGAUUUAUAUGGCCUUGAGUACUUUAGUUUGUCUGACUAUUGCUAUAGGCAACUUUUGUGUGCUUUGUCAAUGUCGUUUUGACGAUUGUUCUACCGAUCCUGGCCCUGUUUUUCUCCAUAGCAAUUCUAGUUGCCCUUUUACCGAGCUACUCCUUCGGUCCUACAAUGAUUUUAUUUUUUUAAGCAAUUACUGUAUUAAAUUUGGU